GUAGUGUGCUGGAUGAGAUAAGUCUUCAGAGAACUGGAAAUCUGCAAGACAAUGAUGUGUUACUUGGGCAUGAAUACAUGUUUCUGAGGACUUUCUCCUGCCACAGGACAACAAUGCCUCCAGAAUUACUAUCUUGCUCCCAGGAAUAUCUGCAUGAAAAGACCUGAGGCAUCUUUAUGUACCUUUCAAGUCAGCCUGACCCUGUUACAUGUGAGAAGAACUAGGAAAUUUAGUUAUUUUUGAGUACACAGUAUAUCAAGACUAAUUAAAUGUCUACAAAUAAAUUAUACCUCCUGGAAA